rnacentral:rRNA from 1 species
UAAUACGGGAGUGGCAAGCGUUAUCCGGAAUUAUUGGGCGUAAAGCGUCCGCAGGCGGCCCUUCAAGUCUGCUGUUAAAAAGUGGAGCUUAACUCCAUCAUGGCAGUGGAAACUGUUGGGCUUGAGUGUGGUAGGGGCAGAGGGAAUUCCCGGUGUAGCGGUGAAAUGCGUAGAUAUCGGGAAGAACACCAGUGGCGAAGGCGCUCUGCUGGGCCAUCACUGACGCUCAUGGACGAAAGCCAGGGGAGCGAAAGGGAUUAGAUACCCCUGUAGUCCUGGCCGUAAACGAUGAACACUAGGUGUCGGGGGAAUCGACCCCCUCGGUGUCGUAGCCAACGCGUUAAGUGUUCCGCCUGGGGAGUACGCACGCAAGUGUGAAACUCAAAGGAAUUGACGGGGGCCCGCACAAGCGGUGGAGUAUGUGGUUUAAUUCGAUGCAACGCGAAGAACCUUACCAGGGUUUGACAUCCUGCGAAUCUCUUGGAAACAGGAGAGUGCCUUCGGGAACGCAGUGACAGGUGGUGCAUGGCUGUCGUCAGCUCGUGUCGUGAGAUGUUGGGUUAAGUCCCGCAACGAGCGCAACCCACGUCUUUAGUUGCCAGCAUUUAGUUGGGCACUCUAGAGAGACUGCCGGUGAUAAACCGGAGGAAGGUGUGGAUGACGUCAAGUCAUCAUGCCCCUUACAUCCUGGGCUACACACGUACUACAAUGCUACGGACAAAGGGCAGCAAGUUCGCGAGGACAAGCAAAUCCCAUAAACCGUGGCUCAGUUCAGAUCGUAGGCUGCAACUCGCCUACGUGAAGGCGGAAUCGCUAGUAAUCGCAGGUCAGCAUACUGCGGUGAAUACGUUCCCGGGCCUUGUACACACCGCCCGUCACACCAUGGAAGUUGGCCACGCCCGAAGCCGUUACUCCAACCCUUGUGGAGGAGGACGUCGAAGGUGGGGCUGAUGACUGGGGUGAAGUCGUAACAAGGUAACCG